rnacentral:rRNA from 1 species
GACGAACGCUGGCGGCGUGCCUAAUACAUGCAAGUCGAGCGAGCUUGCCUAGAUGAUUUUAGUGCUUGCACUAAAUGAAACUAGAUACAAGCGAGCGGCGGACGGGUGAGUAACACGUGGGUAACCUGCCCAAGAGACUGGGAUAACACCUGGAAACAGAUGCUAAUACCGCAUAAGCCCACAGCUCGGCAUCGAGCAGAGGGAAAAGGAGUGAUCCGCUUUGAGAUGGCCUCGCGUCCGAUUAGCUAGUUGGUGAGGUAACGGCCCACCAAGGCAACGAUCGGUAGCCGGACUGAGAGGUUGAACGGCCACAUUGGGACUGAGACACGGCCCAG